GGAUGUGAGGACAAGCUGGCCCUAACAUCUGUCACCCCACUAAUCACCAGGGUUGAUCCAUCUGACUAGACAGGCACCCCAUCCUCCCUCACUGCUCCAUGUACAUCCAGUAGCUGCGCACUAGGUUGACGUAGACUACCUUCUCCCUUCCAUCAAGGGUGUAUAAGUGUCUGUAUUCCUCCAUUAGAGCUGCCAGGCAAGCACUCAAAAAGGUUUAUGGCACCAAGCAUAGUGUCUUAGUUACUGUUCUAUUGCUGUGAAAACCCACUAUGACUCUUAUAGAAGAAAGCAUUUAAU
rnacentral:snRNA from 1 species